UACCUCCUGAAAGAUACAAAAUAAGUUAAAAUACAAAGAAAACUUUUAGUUCUUUAGGGUUUGACUUCUUGAACUUAACACAAACUGGCCGAUACAGAGACUACAUACGAGAGAAGCUGUUUCUCCUGCCAAGUGUUUCCUGUAUGACUGGUUUCCAGUCAAGGCUGGACACAGUGGGCAGGAGGCCAGUUUAAGGAGGACUGCUGAAGCCCUGCUGUCAGGCUCAGAAGAGCCCAAGGAACAAGGGACACAGGUGACCUGGAGGACACAGGGUGGCUGCCAGACUGGAAAGGGGACAAGGUUGCACUUAUGGACCACAGAGGCACUGCCAUGCUCUCCCUUCAGUGCCACACUGUCCAUCAGUCCAUCAGUAUUGCCACUUCUCUGAAAUCACAGUUACGCAUUUCAUCUUCAGGUACCACCAGAAGUCCUCGCCCAAGGCUAGAGGCUCUUCCUGGGCCUGGAAGGGCUACCACCAUUCUUCAUUGGCUGAUGCUCCCAUGUGGCUCAGGGCUCCAGUUGCCUGCUCCAGGGAGCCUUCAAUGACUAUCCUUUAAUGCUCCCACCCACUCCUCAUGUGCAAAGGGUUUAAGCUUAUGAAACACCAAAGCCAAGAAUAAAGUUCUUUGACUGGAAUUUCUCCUUUCCUGUAACACCACCUACAAGAAACUUUUAAUUUGUGUGGGUUAAAGAAGCAUCUUUGAUGAAGUGGAAAAGAGACAGUAUAAUAAAGUUACAAAACACAGUGCAACUGCCACAGCUCAGAGAAAAACACCAGAUUGGGAAUCAGGAGACUGGCCCUGGGAGUAUGGGUAGGUCAUUUCCUCUUAAGGCCUUGUUUUUUUCAUAUAAUUAAGGGUAUGAAUAGACAACUUCCCAUGUUCUCUUUUGACUCUAGAAAUUCUAUUUUAUCUGAUUUUUAAACUGUUUUUUAAUGACAUAGUUGGUAUGAUACACAGUAUAUAGCAUGUAUGCUGUAAAAUGCCAAGGCCAUGUUUUUAGUUUUCAGUCAGUGUAAGAAGAAAAUUCAAGAAAGAGUCUAAUUUCAUCUUUGAUGUUAGAUCCCCUGUGUCUUUUUAGGAAUUUCUUUAACCUCAUUUGAAUUGAGUUUAAGAAAAAUGAUUUCUAAGAAUUCUACCAACCCUCAAAAGUAUUUGAUUCUACAUUUUUUUCUUAGCUCUCAAGUAGGAAUAACAAUAUUUGUAGUAUCUAUCUCAUAGAGUCAAUAUGAGAAUCAAAGUUUUUUUAGUCAAUAGAAUCUACAAUUUUGCAUUUACAUAAUUAUUUGCAUAAAGCCAAUUGUCCCUGUAGGCUUUUAGCUCUAGGAGGAAAGGGAAAAUGUCUGCCCGAUACACUGCUCUAUUUCUAGUACCUAGUAGAGAUCAUGGCACAGCGUAAGUCUAUCAAAUAAGAAGAAUCAACCAGAGCCAGGGAUUUAGCUUAGUGGUGCCACUGCCUGCCUCAUAAGUGCAAGGUCCUGCGUUCGAAGCCUGGUACCAAAAAAAGAAGAAGAAUCAAUCAUAUUUAGAGCAUUGAUGAGAAGCAGCAACAUCUCAACCCUGCUUUCUCAGAGAAAAAGAUACAGAAAAUGUGGACAUGUUGUUUAUCAACCAUUGCUAAAAAUCAAACUUUUCUAUAAGAGAAAAAAAUUUGAGCCACUCCAAGUAUGGGGCCAGACCAGCAACAGCAAUAUCAGCUGCGAUCUGAUUACAAAUGCAAAUUUUCUUUCCCUACCCAACAAUUACCAACAGAAAGUCUGAGGGCAGGGCUAGUAUUCUGUGUUAACAAGCUCUCUCAGUGGUUCUGAUGUACACCAGAGUUCAAGAGCCCGUCUCCAGCAACUUUCUUUAUGUAUUACAUGCAUAUUCUUUUAUUUCUCAGGGCAUAAUUAAGUUUCUAGCUUGUGCUUUAAAAAUAACAAUUUCAUCAACAAUAAGAAUAAUUAAUGCUUUUUGA
rnacentral:lncRNA from 1 species